CAGAUUGAGGGAUUUUAAUGGCUUUCAGGUAGAAGAAAGUGGAGACAAUCAAGAUGAAUUCUAUGGACAGGCACAUACAGCAGACCAAUGACCGGCUGCAGUGCAUAAAACAGCACUUACAGAACCCGGCAAACUUCCAUAAUGCGGCAACAGAACUCCUGGACUGGUGCGGAGACCCCAGAGCCUUCCAGAGACCGUUUGAGCAGAGCCUGAUGGGUUGUUUGACGGUGGUUAGUCGAGUGGCGGCUCAGCAAGGAUUUGACUUGGAUCUUGGAUACAG